rnacentral:rRNA from 1 species
ACAUGCAAGUCGAGCGAACCGACGGGAGCUUGCUCCCUUAGGUUAGCGGCGGACGGGUGAGUAACACGUGGGUAACCUGCCUGUAAGACUGGGAUAACUCCGGGAAACCGGGGCUAAUACCGGAUGCUUGAUUGAACCGCAUGGUUCAAUUAUAAAAGGUGGCUUUUAGCUACCACUUACAGAUGGACCCGCGGCGCAUUAGCUAGUUGGUGAGGUAACGGCUCACCAAGGCGACGAUGCGUAGCCGACCUGAGAGGGUGAUCGGCCACACUGGGACUGAGACACGGCCCAGACUCCUACGGGAGGCAGCAGUAGGGAAUCUUCCGCAAUGGACGAAAGUCUGACGGAGCAACGCCGCGUGAGUGAUGAAGGUUUUCGGAUCGUAAAACUCUGUUGUUAGGGAAGAACAAGUACCGUUCGAACAGGGCGGUGCCUUGACGGUACCUAACCAGAAAGCCACGGCUAACUACGUGCCAGCAGCCGCGGUAAUACGUAGGUGGCAAGCGUUGUCCGGAAUUAUUGGGCGUAAAGCGCGCGCAGGCGGUUUCUUAAGUCUGAUGUGAAAGCCCCCGGCUCAACCGGGGAGGGUCAUUGGAAACUGGGGAACUUGAGUGCAGAAGAGGAGAGUGGAAUUCCACGUGUAGCGGUGAAAUGCGUAGAGAUGUGGAGGAACACCAGUGGCGAAGGCGACUCUCUGGUCUGUAACUGACGCUGAGGCGCGAAAGCGUGGGGAGCGAACAGGAUUAGAUACCCUGGUAGUCCACGCCGUAAACGAUGAGUGCUAAGUGUUAGAGGGUUUCCGCCCUUUAGUGCUGCAGCAAACGCAUUAAGCACUCCGCCUGGGGAGUACGGUCGCAAGACUGAAACUCAAAGGAAUUGACGGGGGCCCGCACAAGCGGUGGAGCAUGUGGUUUAAUUCGAAGCAACGCGAAGAACCUUACCAGGUCUUGACAUCCUCUGACACCCCUAGAGAUAGGGCUUCCCCUUCGGGGGCAGAGUGACAGGUGGUGCAUGGUUGUCGUCAGCUCGUGUCGUGAGAUGUUGGGUUAAGUCCCGCAACGAGCGCAACCCUUGAUCUUAGUUGCCAGCAUUCAGUUGGGCACUCUAAGGUGACUGCCGGUGACAAACC